AUGGCCAAGGAGGUGUUCCUAAUGGCCCAGAGUUUGAAGAGGAGAGGACGCAUCAUGACCAAAGAUCAGCUCAUCACCUCUGCUAGGAAAAUUGCGACUUCUGGACAAAACUUCGCCAAACUUAUCUGCAUCAUUGCUAAGAACUGCACAGAUCAAAGAUGUUCCCAGGAGCUUCUGUGUGCGGUAGAGCAGAUUCAGACAGUGAGCAGCCAGCUCCGCAUCAUCUCCGGUGUAAAGGCCUCCCUGGCAAGAAGCAAGUCCUCUGAAGAGCUCCUGGUAGAAAAUGCACAGCAGCUCCUCCGUGCUGUCUCCAAGACUGUGGGGGCUGCAGAAGCCGCAAGUCUCCGGGGUUUGAGACAAGCUUCCCCAGAUCCAGACAAACUGGAAGUUGCUGCCUUCUGCAUGGAGUGGAGGAGAAAACGGCUAAGGCACAGACUUCAAGAAACCUCAAACCUGGACUGUGAUGAGCUGGGCCUGCGAAAAACAAGCACUAAAGGGUCCCCAACACUUGCAGCCCUGGUUCAAGAAACAUCAUAA
rnacentral:lncRNA from 1 species